rnacentral:rRNA from 1 species
GUCUACAGCCAUUCCACCCUGAAUACGCCUGAUCUCGUCUGAUAUUGGAAGCUCAGCAGGGUCAGACCUGGUUAGUACUUGGAUGGGAGACCAUCUAGGAAGACCUGGUGCUGUAGGCA